rnacentral:rRNA from 1 species
AUGAACGCUGGCGGCGUGCCUAAUACAUGCCAGUCGAGCGAACGGACGAGAAGCUUGCUUCUCAGAUGUUAGCGGCGGACGGGUGAGUAACACGUGGAUAACCUACCUAUAAGACUGGGAUAACUUCGGGAAACCGGAGCUAAUACCGGAUAAUAUUUUGAACCGCAUGGUUCAAAAGUGAAAGACGGUCUUGCUGUCACUUAUAGAUGGAUCCGCGCUGCAUUAGCUAGUUGGUAAGGUAACGGCUUACCAAGGCAACGAUGCAUAGCCGACCUGAGAGGGUGAUCGGCCACACUGGAACUGAGACACGGUCCAGACUCCUACGGGAGGCAGCAGUAGGGAAUCUUCCGCAAUGGGCGAAAGCCUGACGGAGCAACGCCGCGUGAGUGAUGAAGGUCUUCGGAUCGUAAAACUCUGUUAUUAGGGAAGAACAUAUGUGUAAGUAACUGUGCACAUCUUGACGGUACCUAAUCAGAAAGCCACGGCUAACUACGUG